GUCAUCGGUUCAAAUCCGAUAAGGGGCUUUUGAAAUUU
rnacentral:tRNA from 3 species